AUGGCUUCAUGUGUGUUAGACAAACUAAAUUUUUGUUCCAACCAAAAUUUUCUUCCACAACCGUUUGUACUUCUCCUCAUUCCACUACCUCUGUAUAGCGGUUACGUUUUUCAUUCAUCUGCUCUACCUCUCUCUUCCUCUUCCUAUUCUGUGCGCGUUCUAAAUCGUUCCUACAACCGCCACAUAGUUUCUCUAUCCACCAACUAUCCCCGUUUCUUCCAAACCUUAACCCCCAAAACCAUUACUUUCACCACCAUUUCUUCCACUCCCACAAAACGGAAAUGGAAGGUAAGCGACUCUGCUCCACUUGAAGAGGAAUACAAACAGUGA